GGAGGUCUCAGACCUUUGCAGUAGGAGUUGGGGAGCUUGGUGUCCCCGGAAGGGGGGCUGCGGCAGUAGUAGCAGCAGGAGAGAGACCGGCCUCAUCUUCAGACUCCUCAUCCAAGAAGCUGAGAUCGAGCUCAAGAAAUUUUCUGGCCACCUUCUCCUGGCAGAGCUCGAACCCCUUGAUGAAUGCUUCUUGGCCGAACCUGACGUUCAGGUCCCUCAUCUUCGCAGAGGCCUUGAACUCCUCCAUCGUAAGAACCCUAGCCUCCGAGACCAGGACCA
rnacentral:lncRNA from 1 species